rnacentral:tRNA from 1 species
AGGGCAGUAGCUCAAUUGGUAGAGCUGUCGAUUCCAAAUCGACCGGUUGAGGGUUCGAUUCCUUCCUGCCCUGCCA